AUCAAAUAGUGGCUGAAAAUGUUCUGGCCUACGAUGCUUGUUUCUGGGUUCGGCUGGCAGGUAGAAUUGACCCUCUAAAAAUCAGAUGAUGAUAAAGCAUGGUUUCACAUAUGAAUACAGUUGCCUUCCUAUGGAUGUGACUUUGCAAUUGUUGACCAGCUUGUCCGCAAGAUUGGUAUGUGUUGCCUACUGCUAAUUCCCCCCGCCCCCCCUAAUAUGUGCAGCAAAAGAUUGAACAGCCAAUUGAUGUGCUGAAGGCAAUAAUUAGUACUGCAAUGCAUGAGCCGAUUACCGAUUGAACAUUACUGGCGAUUGGGCCGAAGGCGUUUUCUAGUCAAUUAGGGUUUUGUGUCGGGUCCGACUCUUGCAUGGGUCGAUAAGAUUGUUUAGAAAAUUUAUUUCUUUAGUGUCAAGUUUUGUGUUUGUCAUGAUUGACAAGGAGUUUGUAUCUUAGGAUAUAAAUAGCGACCCUGCGUGGUCUAAAUAAGUUUUGUACACACCAACAUAAACCAAAAGCCCUACUUUUUUCGCAAUCUGCUUUUCGUACUCGGCGACUU